rnacentral:rRNA from 1 species
UACGUAGGGUGCAAGCGUUGUCCGGAAUUAUUGGGCGUAAAGAGCUCGUAGGCGGUCCGUCGCGUCGGAUGUGAAAACCCAGGGCUCAACCCUGGGCCUGCAUUCGAUACGGGCAGACUAGAGUUCGGUAGGGGAGACUGGAAUUCCUGGUGUAGCGGUGAAAUGCGCAGAUAUCAGGAGGAACACCGGUGGCGAAGGCGGGUCUCUGGGCCGAAACUGACGCUGAGGAGCGAAAGCGUGGGGAGCAAACAGG